rnacentral:rRNA from 1 species
UACGUAGGGGGCAAGCGUUGUCCGGAUUCAUUGGGCGUAAAGAGCGUGUAGGCGGCCAGGUAGGUCGGUUGUGAAAACUGGAGGCUCAACCUUCAGACGUCGACCGAAACCAUCUGGCUAGAGUCCGGGAGAGGAGAGUGGAAUUCCUGGUGUAGCGGUGAAAUGCGCAGAUAUCAGGAAGAACACCCGUGGCGAAGGCGGCUCUCUGGAACGGUACUGACGCUGAGACGCGAAAGCGUGGGGAGCGAACAGG